rnacentral:tRNA from 1 species
GGGUGAGUGGCGGAACUGGCAGACGCGCCAGACUUAGGAUCUGGUGGGGGAAACCCCGUGAGAGUUCAAGUCUCUCCUUGCCCA